rnacentral:rRNA from 1 species
CAGUAGCCACGGUAAUACGAAGGGGGCUAGCGUUGUUCGGAAUUACUGGGCGUAAAGCGCACGCAGGCGGCUCGAUAAAUUAGAAGUGAAAGCCUUGGGCUUAACCUGAGAAUUGCUUUUAAGACUGUCGAGCUAGAAUCCAGAAGAGGGUAGUGGAAUUCCGAGUGUAGAGGUGAAAUUCGUAGAUAUUCGGAAGAACACCAGUGGCGAAGGCGACUACCUGGUCUGGCAUUGACGCUCAUGUGCGAAAGCGUGGGGAGCAAACAGGAUUAGAUACCCCGGUAGUCCCUGUCUCUUAUCA